rnacentral:rRNA from 1 species
AGAGUUUGAUCAUGGCUCAGAACGAACGCUGGCGGCGUGGAUAAGACAUGCAAGUCGAGCGGGAUUUCUUUUGGUAGCAAUACUGAGGGAAAUUCAGCGGCGAACGGGUGCGUAACACGUGGGCAAUUUGCCUUAAAGUGUGGGAUAGCUCGGCGAAAGCCGAAUUAAUACCGCAUGUGGCUACUGGAGACAUCUUCGGGACGCUAAAGGUGGCGCAAGCUACCGCUUUUUGAGGAGCCCGCGGCCUAUCAGCUUGUUGGUGAGGUAACGGCUCACCAAGGCGAUGACGGGUAGCUGGUCUGAGAGGACGACCAGCCACACUGGGACUGAGACACGGCCCAGACACCUACGGGUGGCAGCAGUCGAGAAUUUUUGACAAUGGGGGAAACCCUGAUCGAGCGACGCCGCGUGGAGGAUGAAGGUCUUCGGGUUGUAAACUCCUGUCAUUUGGGAACAAGGCGCGUGUAUUAACUGUACACGCGUUGAUAGUACCAGAAGAGGAAGAGACGGCUAACUCUGUGCCAGCAGCCGCGGUAAUACAGAGGUCUCAAGCGUUGUUCGGAUUCAUUGGGCGUAAAGGGUGUGUAGGUGGCGCGCUAAGUCGGGUGUGAAAUUUCGGAGCUUAACUCCGAAACUGCAUUCGAUACUGGCGUGCUUGAGGACUGGAGAGGAGACUGGAAUUUACGGUGUAGCAGUGAAAUGCGUAGAUAUCGUAAGGAAGACCAGUGGCGAAGGCGGGUCUCUGGACAGUUCCUGACACUGAGACACGAAGGCCAGGGGAGCAAACGGGAUUAGAUACCCCAGUAGUCC